rnacentral:lncRNA from 1 species
CCCCUCUCCCCUCCCUUUUCUCUACUUUUUUCAUGUGGGGAUAUCGGCACAGUUUGAUUCACGCCGAACCGGUACCGAACCGACCAUACCGUCCGAUUUCGGACGGUAUGGAUGCGAACCGGAUCGAACUCAGCGGUUCGAUGCGGUUCGGGAGGAUUUUUCAAAAAAAAAUCCGAACCAGAUCGAUAAAGUAUCGGUCCGGCUUGGUAUGCCCCGUACCGAACGGUUCGGCCCGGUACGGCGAACCAUGGUAGGGAUGUUGAGAGCC